rnacentral:rRNA from 1 species
CCUACGGGUGGCAGCAGUGAGGAAUAUUGGUCAAUGGACGCGAGCCUGAACCAGCCAAGUAGCGUGAAGGAUGACUGCCCUACGGGUUGUAAACUUCUUUUAUAAAGGAAUAAAGUGAGGCACGUGUGCCGUUGUGUAUGUACUUUAUGAAUAAGGAUCGGCUAACUCCGUGCCAGCAGCCGCGGUAAUACGGAGGAUCCGAGCGUUAUCCGGAUUUAUUGGGUUUAAAGGGAGCGUAGAGGGGUUGUUAAGUCAGUUGUGAAAGUUUGCGGCUCAACCGUAAAAUUGCAAUUGAUACUGGCAGCCUUGAGUACAGUUGAGGUAGGCGGAAUUCGUUGUGUAGCCGU